GGUUGAGGACAAAUAUCAGAAGAAAAAAUACAGAAAGAAAAAAAAAACGCGUUUACUUGCUAAUUGGAACAUCGUAAUUUCGCCGGAAUUGAUGGAAGCGUGGUGUUUUCGUAAAUAUAAAAUGAUGACAGUGGCAGUAAGGUUUCCUCUCUUGAUUCUUGCAUUCGUAAAUGCGGAUCGGUGCCUUUUUUCAAGAUCUGUGUGAUUCGGAGCCUGCAAUUGGUGAGAAAGGCGUCAAAUUUUGUAAGAUGUUUCCGUCUCAUUCUGCACUUUUUAGCUUGUGGGAUCAUGGAAUUUAGAUUCUGCUUUUCUUUUGUCUGCACUAUAUGUCCUAAUUUUUUAUUAGAUUCGUUAGAUAUUUUUAUAUAGGAACAGAUUUGUGCAUGUUCAGUAUGACAAAGGAAUAGCAGAAGUACAGAUAGAAGUUCAGAUAUUUAUCUAUCUAUCGAUCUUAAAAAGCAGUCAUUGAAGUUUAGUCCUAGCAAGCACAACUCCAUUGCAAGGUUCCAAUUUUCUGCUUUUAUUGGUGUCGGCGCUUACCAACCGAACCAAAUUCCACCCACCUUCAACACAGGUGGGUCGCCUGUUUGAAUAACGACACCAACAAGAUAUCCUGUAGUGUGAAAAGUGAAAACUUUUGUGUUAUAAGAAGCUUUGAACUAUUUGAACUGGAAAGCGAGUUUUUGCUUGACCUAGUAAAUGCUUUUUGAA